GGGGAUUUAGCUCAGCCUUAGAGCGCUUGCCUAGCAAGCACAAGGCCCUGGGUUCGAUCCCCAGCUCUG
rnacentral:tRNA from 1 species